UGGCUCCAGGAACCGACGCUGGCGGCGUGCCUAAUACAUGCAAGUCGAACGAACUCUGGUAUUGAUUGGUGCUUGCAUCAUGAUUUACAUUUGAGUGAGUGGCGAACUGGUGAGUAACACGUGGGAAACCUGCCCAGAAGCGGGGGAUAACACCUGGAAACAGAUGCUAAUACCGCAUAACAACUUGGACCGCAUGGUCCGAGUUUGAAAGAUGGCUUCGGCUAUCACUUUUGGAUGGUCCCGCGGCGUAUUAGCUAGAUGGUGGGGUAACGGCUCACCAUGGCAAUGAUACGUAGCCGACCUGAGAGGGUAAUCGGCCACAUUGGGACUGAGACACGGCCCAA
rnacentral:rRNA from 2 species